GUCGGUUAAUGUACAAGACUGAGGUCAGUUAUGAAUGCAAUGUGAAUAACAUCUCUCCUGGAGCUAACAGUCUCCAGGCUUCCAUCUUUAGAACAGCAGGAUAUGAAUCCAGGACAGACGGUUCUGAUGUCCACAGUUAGUUCAGAGUAAAGUUCUCAUCUAUGUUUGUUCUGUUCCAGCGGAUCAAGGAGAACCUUAACACCUUCUUUUCUAGACAAGGAGGUGGAGAAGCUCUGAGAGUUCUCUUCCCAGAUGACCCACAAUUCUCAGAGAGCCAGAGGGAGGAGGAGGUGGAUAGGGAGGAAGAGGAGCAGAAGAGAAAUUGUUGCUGCUGAGCCCAGCUGGUUCUCCAUGGAGAGUGACCACUCUAUGGAACAUCCUGUUGAAUAUGAAGAUGGAAAUCCAUCUGUUAAGCAAAGCCCAGAGCAGCAGGAGAGAGAAGACUCCCCUGCACCCAGCUGUGUCUCCUUGAAGAGUGACCACUCUAUGACACAACCUAUUCAAUUUAAAGAUGGAAAUCUUUCUAUUGAUCAAAG
ensembl:lncRNA